UUUAAAUGUAAAAUUGAUUACUAAAUUAGUAUUAGUUAUGUUCUUGAAAAUUAAAGAUUUUGGCGGUAUUUUAGUCUAUUUAGAGGAACCUGUUCUAUAAUUGAUAAUCCACGAUUAAUUUUACUUAUUUUAUAAAUUUGUAUACCGUCGUUAUUAGAAAAUUUUAUUAGAAUAUGAAUUUUUAAUAUUUUUAAUUAAAAUAUAUAUCAGAUCAAGGUGCAGUUAAUAUUUAAGAAGAAAUGGGUUACAAUAAAUUUAUUUAUAUGGAUUAAAGCAAAGUAAAAUUCUUUAUGAAAGUGGAUUUAAUAGUAAUAAGAUUAAUUUUAAUUUUAUGAUUUUAGCUCUAAAAUAUGU
rnacentral:rRNA from 1 species